UCGAGCGCAGGAGCCGUCUGAACCCUUCGGGGGGACGACGGUGGAAUGAGCGGCGGACGGGUGAGUAACACGUAAAGAACCUGCCCAUAGGUCUGGGAUAACCACGAGAAAUCGGGGCUAAUACCGGAUGUGUCAUCGGACCGCAUGGUCCGCUGAUGAAAGGCGCUCCGGCGUCGCCCAUGGAUGGCUUUGCGGUGCAUUAGCUAGUUGGUGGGGUAACGGCCCACCAAGGCGACGAUGCAUAGCCGACCUGAGAGGGUGAUCGGCCACACUGGGACUGAGACACGGCCCAGACUCCUACGGGAGGCAGCAGUAGGGAAUCUUCCACAAUGGACGAAAGUCUGAUGGAGCAACGCCGCGUGAACGAUGAAGGCUUUCGGGUCGUAAAGUUCUGUUGUAAGGGAAGAACAAGUGCCGCACGCAAUGGCGGCACCUUGACGGUACCUUGCGAGAAAGCCACGGCUAACUACGUGCCAGCAGCCGCGGUAAUACGUAGUGGCAAGCGUUGUCCCGGAAUUAUUGGGCGUAAAGCGCGCGCAGCGGCCUCUUAAGUCUGAU
rnacentral:rRNA from 1 species